rnacentral:lncRNA from 1 species
GUGGAUGACUGGAUUUCUAAUUCCAGUUCAAAAGUCCAGUUCGAGAGGAUAAAAAAGAAUAUCAGACUGAUCUUCUCAUCUGAGGCUUGCAUCAACGGAAGCUUCCUGCAGAAAAGAGACAAACAUUUCAAAACCUCCAAAGAAUUCUCAGGUGUAGACAUGUCCGAAGUGAAACAUUUUUAUAAGAAGAUCAGCGAGAUGCCAAAGCUCUUCCAGGAGGUGCAAAAGGAGGUUGAUAAUUUACUGCCAUCACUGUCUUCCUCUCCCAUCUCACCUGAAAAUUUCAGAGUCUACUUGAUCUUGCCUUUCAUUCUGCAGGGGAAGGAUAAAAGCUGUUACCAUUCACUGAGGCUUCUAGCACAAGCCAUCAUGAAGCUCCAGCCAGAGGACCUGCAAACUCUUGAGUGCCUGUGGUCAAAUCUGGAAACAUCCUCUUUCGAGGAGCUGGUCAGUCUGUAUCAGAGGGUUUCCCAGGAUAACCUGUCUCAAUUUAUCACGGAAUUACACACUUGUGGGCCAAGAGACCCCUUCAACCUGUACCCAGAUGAAACAGUGCCUCUGCAAAUACUGCAGAUGCUUUACCAGGUGAACUCCAGAACUGGUUUCAGAGUAGAAGAAAGCAACUUCUAUGUACCUCUUGUGAAAGAGAUUAUCCACUUCUGUCAGUUCUUUAAUAGAGCAGUAAGUAUAAAAUUUUACCAGCAGUGCGAAACACUCUUUCUUUUCUCUUUUAUUUAAAUAGUCGUUAUAUCUCUCUCUAGGUAUAA